rnacentral:rRNA from 1 species
AUUGAACGCUGGCGGCAGGCCUAACACAUGCAAGUCGAGCGGAUGAAGGGAGCUUGCUCCUGGAUUCAGCGGCGGACGGGUGAGUAAUGCCUAGGAAUCUGCCUGGUAGUGGGGGAUAACGUCCGGAAACGGGCGCUAAUACCGCAUACGUCCUGAGGGAGAAAGUGGGGGAUCUUCGGACCUCACGCUAUCAGAUGAGCCUAGGUCGGAUUAGCUAGUUGGUGGGGUAAAGGCCUACCAAGGCGACGAUCCGUAACUGGUCUGAGAGGAUGAUCAGUCACACUGGAACUGAGACACGGUCCAGACUCCUACGAGAGGCAGCAGUGGGGAAUAUUGGACAAUGGGCGAAAGCCUGAUCCAGCCAUGCCGCGUGUGUGAAGAAGGUCUUCGGAUUGUAAAGCACUUUAAGUUGGGAGGAAGGGCAGUAAGUUAAUACCUUGCUGUUUUGACGUUACCAACAGAAUAAGCGCCGGCUAACUUCGUG